rnacentral:misc_RNA from 1 species
UACGGAGGGCGCGAGCGUUACCCGGAUUUACUGGGCGUAAAGGGCGUGUAGGCGGCCUGGGGCGUCCCAUGUGAAAGGCCACGGCUCAACCGUGGAGGAGCGUGGGAUACGCUCAGGCUAGAGGGUGGGAGAGGGUGGUGGAAUUCCCGGAGUAGCGGUGAAAUGCGCAGAUACCGGGAGGAACGCCGAUGGCGAAGGCAGCCACCUGGUCCACUUCUGACGCUGAGGCGCGAAAUCGUGGGGAGCAAACCGG